rnacentral:rRNA from 1 species
UUGGGAAUCUUGCACAAUGGGGGAAACCCUGAUGCAGCGACGCCGCGUGGAGGAUGACGGAUCUAGGUCUGUAAACUCCUUUUUCAUGGAAAGACUUAGGACGGUACCAUGAGAAUAAGCACCGGCUAACUACGUGCCAGCAGCCGCGGUAAGACGUAGGGUGCAAGCGUUGUCCGGAUUUACUGGGCGUAAAGAGCGCGUAGGCGGUCUUGUAAGUGUGAAGUGAAAUCUCCAGGGCUCAACCCGGAAACUGCUUUGCAUACUGCAGGACUAGAGGGAUGCAGAGGUUUGUGGAAUUCCUGGUGUAGCGGUGAAAUGCGUUGAUAUCAGGAGGAACACCCAUGGCGAAGGCAGCAAACUGGGCAUCAUCUGACGCUGAGGCGCGAAAGCGUGGGUAGCAAACAG